rnacentral:rRNA from 1 species
UACGUAGGGGGCAAGCGUUGUCCGGAAUCAUUGGGCGUAAAGAGCGUGUAGGCGGCUCGGUAAGUCCGCUGUGAAAGUCCAGGGCUCAACCCUGGAAUGCCGGUGGAAACUGUCGAGCUAGAGUCCGGAAGAGGCGAGUGGAAUUCCUGGUGUAGCGGUGAAAUGCGUAGAUAUCGGAAGGAACACCUGUGGCGAAAGCGGCUCACUGGACCAUUACUGACGCUGAUGCACGAAAGCUAGGGGAGCAAACAGG